rnacentral:lncRNA from 1 species
GAAGUCCAUGGAUUUCUAGAGGGUCUGCUUGAACUUUUAUGCAAAAUGUACACAUGAAGGUCUAAGAUCCAGGUUUUCAUGGAUUCUCAAAGAGGUAGACUGCCUCCAAAAGAGGUGAAGACUGGCAUGGAGAGUGUCAGAUAACCCUGGUGCCUCACCAUGUCCUUAGACGCCCUGUGGUGUCCCCAAAGCACUUCCUGUUGAAUCUCCCCGUGUUCUGGACUAGCAUGAAGUGCCGAGCCCAGUCUUGACACUAGUGAGGGUUUAGUGAGCAAAUCCACGAAAUAGGAAAUGCUGAACUAUCCAGUUCCAACUUUUCCACCACUUAACCCUUAUCUCUUCAUCUGUCAGAAAGAGGAGAGGGAUCUGUGUUUUAUUGUACUCUGUGCCAUUACAGGAUAUUUUUGAAAAUAUAAUCAUGAUUCUUACACAAACAUAAAAGGAACAAGCAUCAAGGAUUAUAUUUAAUUCAUUAAUUAAUGAGGGAACUGGCAAGAUGUUAUGACAGUCUAAGAAGAGAUCUCAAAAUACCACACAUUUAUAUGCAGAUAAGGGAUGCUGAAAUGAAUUUACAAAUAGUGCAAAACUGGCACAGCUGGUCAAUAUUCACAAAGUGAUAAUCACUUGCAUCCGACCAGACAGUUUGCAUUUCUAUGCACAGGAUUUAAUUACAUUACUAUUAGUUUUGUAAGAGUUAACUUCUCUCUCCCCAGAGUUCUAGAAUAGUCCAAGACAAAGGUAGAAAUAACCAGGAUAAAUGUACCAGCCAGUACACACUAAAUUUCAAAGUCUUUCACAAUUGCUCCUUAUGGUGUCUUAUUCUUAGGAUGUUUUCUUUGAGACAAGCCUUAUAUGUUAGCAGCCCCCAAUUCAGUGUGAUUUGGGGGGCACUGAGAAGACCCCUUGUUAUGACCUAAUUCUUCCCUACCUGGUUGUAAGUUACCUGAAACUCCACCCCAGGGGCUUUAGCCUUUGAUCCGACCUUGAUUUAUCCCAGUCAGAACCCCCACAAAGAGCAAUGUUUCCAAGGUGCCUUGUGCACAGAGCAUUUUCACAUCUGACUCUAACAACAACCCAUUUUACAAAUGAUGAGACCUGGAGGCUAGCUCGAGGUGACGUAUACCUAGUGGGGACUUGCACCCAGUUCUUCUGAUUUCAGAAGAUGUCCACUUUCUGCUGUGCUAACAAGCCUUAGAAGGGCAGCAUCUGGGUGAGGUUCUAUUGGAGGCAGACAGAGGACCGGAAAAGGACUCACACUUGCUCACAAUGUGGAUGCACUAGACAUAAUCGACGAAAUGGGUAAUUCAUGACUCACACAUUUAUUUAUUUAAGGACCUACCUUGUGCCAGGCGCCAGGGUCAUAGUAUUGAACAAGGCAGACAGAGGCCCUGUCCUUGGGAACUUAAGUUCUAGUAGGGAGGACAUACAUCAACAACUAAAUACACUAUGAAUUAUUCACUUAAAACUGUUGGAAGUGCUACAAAGAACGGUAGAAUGUGUUGUGGAGAUAUUCUUGAGCUGAAGAGCCUUCCCCCAUCCGGCUUAGACUCCCUCUCUCCCUGCCUUAAGAGGAAGUAGAGUAGGUAACUUGAACAUCAUUUCUGAAAAUUUACUGACUCCUAAGUUAUUCUUAGUCACCCUUAUUUUAGCAUAAAUGAAUUUAGAUCCUUUCUUGAAAGAGGGAGUGGAUAUAAAAGGGUGUAAGAAUGGGAAAAAUAGAACUGAUAUAGUCAAUAUUAUCUUCAGAGUAUGGGAAAUCUGGAUGCCACGCAGAGCUGCAGGGCCUGACUUUGUGUUCCUACAGGCAAAACUAGAAGCCCUGGAAGGGGAAGAAAUGGGGAUGCAAUGGGAGCUACUCACCAUCUGAAGUGUAAGAACUCCAUGGAGAAAGACCAGCAGACUCACACACCAGGCCAUGCUGAGGUGCUGAAAGCAUAAAUGAAACUUUCUAAUUCAAAUAAAUAAAUGUGUGUAUAUGUGCAUAGAUGAUGUCUUGAUAAUAAAUAAAUAAUAAAUAUGUCUUGAUAUGUAUUGAUAAUAAAUAAAUAAUAAAUAAAUAAAAAA